AUCUACCUGUGGUGUACGACCACCUGUUAUUUUGAACCUACAACUUACAGCAGGGAGACGGAUAUGCGAAGACUGAUGUCAGGCCACAAGCUAAUUCGCUUUGCGCAGUGGAAGGCAAUAAGUCGGACUGAGUCACCCACCUAGCACAGCUAGGGCGUCAAAAUUGCAGGGACGGCAUCUUGGGAGAUAU
rfam:Epulopiscium sp. Nele67-Bin004 Nele67MMBin003_117, whole genome shotgun sequence.